rnacentral:rRNA from 1 species
ACGACUCUCGGCAAUGGAUAUCUCGGCUCUCACAUCGAUGAAGAACGUAGCAAAAUGCGAUACUUGGUGUGAAUUGCAGAAUCCCGUGAACCAUCGAGUCUUUGAACGCAAGUUGCACCCCAAGCCUUCUGGCCGAGGGCACGUCUGCCUGGGUGUCACAAAUCGUCGUGUGUUACCGCACGCGGUUGGCCAAAAUCUGAGCUAAGGACGCCAGGAGCGUUCUUACAUGCGGUGGUGAAUUCAAUUCUCGUCAUAUAGUCAGACAUUCCGAUCCAAAAGCUCUUGAUGACCCAAAGUCCUCAACGCGACCCCAGGUCAGGCGGGAUCACCUGCUGAGUUUAAGCAUAUCAAUAAGCGGAGGAAAAGAAACUAACAAGGAUUCCCUUAGUAACGACGAGCGAACCGGGAAGAGCCCAGCUUGAAAAUCGGACGUCUUCGGCGUUCAAAUUGUAGUCUGGAGAAGCGUCCUCAGCGACGGACCGGGCGCCAGAGAGGGUGAGAGCCCCGUCGUGCCCGGACCCUGUCUCACCACGAGGCGCUGUCUACGAGUCGGGUUGUUUGGGAAUGCAGCCCCAAUAGGGCAGUAAAUUCCGUCCAAGCCUUAAUAUGAGCGAGAGAUUGAUAGCGAACAAGUACCGCGAGGUAAAGAUGAAAAGGAAUUUGAAAAGAGAGUCAAAAAGUGCUUGAAAUUGUCGGGAGGGAAGCGGAUGGGGGCCGGUGAUUCGUCCCGAUCGGAUUCGGAACGGAGCAAUCCGGUCCACCGAUCGAUUCGGGCCGUGGACCUAUGCAGAUUAAGGUGGUGAUCUAAGCCCGGGCUUUUGUUACGCCCGCGGAGACGUCACUGCCUUAAUCGUGGUUUGCAGCAUGCGCCUCACGGCGUGCCUCGACAUCUCCGUGCUCAGGGCGUCGGCCUGUGGGCUCCCCAUUCGACCUGUCUUGAAUCACGGACCAAGGAGUCUGACAUGUGUGCGAGUCAACGGGUUAGUAAACCUGUAAAGCGCAAGGAAGCUGAUUGGCUGGAUCCCUCAGCCGACCGACCUUGAUCUUCUGAGAAGGGUUCGAGUGUGAGCAUGCAUGUCGGGACCCGAAAGAUGGUGAACUAUGCUUGAGCGGGGCGAAGCCGAAGGAAACUCUGGUGGUGGCCCGCAGUGAUACUGACAUGCAAAUCGUUCGUCUGACUUGGGUAUAGGGGCGAAAGACUAAUCGAACCAUCUAGUAGCUGGUUCCCUCCGAAGUUUCCCUUAGGAUAGUUGGAGCUCGGAAACGAGUUCUAUCGGGGAAAGUCAAUGAUUAGAGGCAUCGGGGAUGCAAUUUCCUUGACUUAUUCUCAAACUUUAAAUAGGUAGGACGGGGUGGCUGCUUUGUUGAGCCAUCCCACGGAAUCCCUUGACUUAUUCUCAAACUUUAAAUAGGUAGGACGGGGUGGCUGCUUUGUUGAGUCAUCCCACGGAAUCGAGAGCUCCAAGUGGGCCAUGCGGGAUGAACCGAAAGCCGGGUUAUGGUGCCCAACUGCUCGCUAACCUAGAACCCACAAAGGGUGUUUGUCGAUUAAGACAGCAGGAUGGUGGUCAUGGAAGUCGAAAUCUGCUAAGGAGUGUGUAACAACUCACCUGCCAAAUCAACUAGCCCCGAAAAUGGAUGGCGCUGAAGCGCGCGACCAAUACCCGGCCGUCGGGGCAAGAGCCAGGCCUCGAUGAGAAGGAGGGUGCAGCGGUCGCUGCAAAACCUAGGGUGUGAGCCCGGGUGGAGCAGCCGUCGGUGCAGAUCUUAGUGGUAGUAGCAAAUAUUCAAAUUUAGACCCAAGACUCGCUUUGGCGGGUCAAUCCGGGUGGAGGACAUUGUCAUGUGGGGAGUUUGGCUGGGGCGGCACAUCUGUUAAAAGAUAAUGCAGGUGUCCUAAGAUGAGCUCAACGAGAACAGAAAUCUCGUGUGGAACAAAAGGGUAAAAGCUCGUUUGAUUCUGAUUUUCAGUACGAAUACGAACUGUGAAAGCAUGGCCUAUUGAUCCUUUAGACCUUCGGAAUUUGAAGCUAGAGGUGUCAAAAAAGUUACCACAGGGAUAACUGGCUUGUGGCAGCCAAGCGUUCAUAGCGACAUUGCUUUUUGAUCCUUCAAUAUCGGCUCUUCCUAUCAUUGUGAAGCAGAAUUCACCAAGUGUUGGAUUGUUCACCCACCAAUAGGAAACGUGAGCUGGGUUUAGACCGUGGUGAGACACGUUAGUUUCACCCUACUGAUGCCCGCGUCGCAAUAAUAAUUCAACCUAGUACAAGAGGAACCGUUGAUUCGCACAAUUGGUCAUCGCACUUGGUUGAAAAGCCAGUGGCGCGAAGCUACUGUGCGCUAGGAUUAUGACUGAACGCCUCUAAGUCAGAAUCGUGGCUAGAAGCGACGCAUGAGCCCGCCGCCCGAUUGCCGACCCUCAGUGUGAGCUUCGGCUCCCAAAGCACGUGUCAUUAGCUAAGUCUGUUCGGCGAUAGCCGCCUUCGAGACCGCUUGAAUUAUAUUUUUAUUACCACCGAGCGGCCGGUAGAAUCCUUU